GAGUAAGUGCUGCAAGGUCACGUUUGCAAGAGGAGUGUAGGCUGGAGGGCUGGCCAAAGCCUGCACGUGGACUUGGAGGAAAGGCAAGGGAAGGAGAAAGGCAGGCUCGCGGCAAUGCAAGCACAAUGCCGCUUUCCUCCAGCCCUCUGAAAUAGCCCUUUGGCUAACCAAGGAGCCUCCCCAUCUGUGGAAGCUGGUGACUUCAAUCUUUUCCUGGCGAGCUGUCGGCUGGCACAGAGGAGACCUGCAAGUGUUACAGCAGACCCCAGGGAAGUCUGGUGUGUUGACACGACUCACGAAGGAUUGCAUGAAGUCGCCCGUCAUGACUUUGCACUGGGGAGCGGGGAAUGAAAUGGAGCAAAUCUUACCCUCCAGGACAUUGAGGACCAAAGAAACUUAAGGAGCACCUGAGUGCUGUUGACGGUAUGAAGUGCAAGAGGACAUAGGAGCUCUGCUUUUUGUCCCACAGAGGCUUUUUAGCAUGCCAAUCACCAUGAAAUGAUGACAACUUCCAGUUCAGGCUGAUGAGUAGUUAUUUUUCCUGCUGCUGCUGAAGCCACUGGAAAAAUCUGAUUGAUCCAGGAUGCCACGUCAGAGCCUAAUUCCCCUUUCUGCAAACACCCAUAUGCUCAUGUUUAGUGCUUAAUAAAAGGUAAGCUCCAGUCAAUGGGAAAA